rfam:Stegodyphus mimosarum contig26170, whole genome shotgun sequence.
GCCUUCGUUGUGUAAUGGUCAGCAUGCUCGAUUCGUAACCGAGAGGUCCGUGGUUCGAUUCCCGGUGAAGACG